rnacentral:rRNA from 1 species
UGGAGGCUGAAACCCGCCUCCAUGAAGUUGGAUUCGCUAGUAAUCGCGCAUCAGCCAUGGCGCGGUGAAUACGUUCCCGGGCCUUGUACACACCGCCCGUCAAGCCAUGGGAGCCGGGGGUGCCUGAAGUUCGUUACCGCAAGGAUCGACCUAGGGCAAAACUGGUGACUGGGGCUAAGUCGUAACAAGGUAAC